rnacentral:rRNA from 1 species
GAUGAACGCUGGCGGCGUGCCUAAUACAUGCAAGUCGAGCGAACGGACGAGAAGCUUGCUUCUCUGAUGUUAGCGGCGGACGGGUGAGUAACACGUGGAUAACCUACCUAUAAGACUGGGAUAACUUCGGGAAACCGGAGCUAAUACCGGAUGAUAUUUUGAACCGCAUGGUUCAAAAGUGAAAGACGGUCUUGCUGUCACUUAUAGAUGGAUCCGCGCUGCAUUAGCUAGUUGGUAAGGUAACGGCUUACCAAGGCAACGAUGCAUAGCCGACCUGAGAGGGUGAUCGGCCACACUGGAACUGAGACACGGUCCAGACUCCUACGGGAGGCAGCAGUAGGGAAUCUUCCGCAAUGGGCGAAAGCCUGACGGAGCAACGCCGCGUGAGUGAUGAAGGUCUUCGGAUCGUAAAACUCUGUUAUUAGGGUAGAACAUAUGUGUAAGUAACUGUGCACAUCUUGACGGUACCUAAUCAGAAAGCCACGGCUAACUACGUG